rfam:Confluentimicrobium lipolyticum strain CECT 8621 genome assembly, contig: 0001
GGUUCGGGAGCAGCCGGUGGGACGGCAUGCAAGAAUUGGACCUUACCUCCUUCAUUCGUGAGCGGUGCGCAGCCGGAGCCCGACGGCAUGGCGCG